rnacentral:rRNA from 1 species
AUUGAACGCUGGCGGCAUGCCUUACACAUGCAAGUCGAACGGUAACAGGUUAAGCUGACGAGUGGCGAACGGGUGAGUAAUGUAUCGGAACGUGCCCAGUCGUGUGGGAUAACUGCUCGAAAGAGCAGCUAAUACCGCAUACGACCUGAGGGUGAAAGCGGGGGAUCGCAAGACCUCGCGCGAUUGGAGCGGCCGAUAUCAGAUUAGGUAGUUGGGGAGGUAAAGGCUCACCAAGCCGACGAUCUGUAGCUGGUCUGAGAGGACGACCAGCCACACUGGGACUGAGACACGGCCCAGACUCCUACGGGAGGCAGCAGUGGGGAAUUUUGGACGAUGGGCGCAAGCCUGAUCCAGCCAUGCCGCGUGCGGGAAGAAGGCCUUCGGGUUGUAAAGCGCUUUUGUCAGGGAAGAAAAGGUUCUGGCUAAUACCUGGGACUCAUGACGGUACCUGAAGAAUAAGCACCGGCUAACUACGUG